AUUUCGGCAGAGCUGAAACGGGCAGAAGUUGGGCUGCAGUGGGUGAAAGGAGGAAGUCAGACUGGGCCUGACCACCUCCUCUACUCCCCGGCCCCAGGGGCCUCGGCCCUUGCCCAUUGAUCCCUCUUGCCCAGGCAGUAGCAUGGCUCACUCCCUCCUUCCCUUCAAGUCUCUGUAGAAAUGUCACCUCCCUCAGGAGAGCUUUCCUGACUGCUGCCCCACGCCUGACCACAUUUUUAUUAUUCUUCUGAGUACAUGUCGCUCCCUGAUGUUGGGUUUCGGUUUGGUUUUGUCUCUGCUAUGAGCACAGAAGUCCCUGCCGACAGGGGCCAUCUCUGUACAACCCUCGGCUAUAUCCCCUGGGACACAGGUAUGUGAGGAGCAGGUGAGCCUUGAGAAUAACACUAAGAAGAGUGAAUGAAUAUCAACAAUCCGUGCCGGCAAAGCUCCCUCCUUAUGAAGGCUUGUGCUCCUCAUGGCUUCACUUGAAGCCCACUGACUGCGCUAACUCAUCAUUCCUCACUACAACGCUAACAAGGACCCUGAAGCCUCAGGACUGUCAACCACAAAAUCCUGGAGUCACAGGCUCUGAUAUGUAGCUCAGAGGAUUCUAGAACCAUAGGACCCAGAAAUUCAGCCCACAGAAUCCUAGCACCAGGGGACUCAGAUCUGCAACCCACGGAAUCUUCAGAGACCACAGCAUGCAACACACGAAAUCCUGGAACCAUGGGAAGCAGAAGCGAUGCCCACGGUUUUCUAGAACCAAAGGAGGGGAACGAAGCCGUGGGUUCUCAGCACUUAGCGCUAGGAGGAUGGCCGAGGAGCUCACCUCAUUCAAGUGCCCUCCCUUUCAAAGACGAGCGAGUGGGGCCCUCUGAGCCUCCAAGGCCGCCCUGCCAGCGCCCCUCCGCGACCGUCAGGGGUGAUGGGAGGUCUGAGUCCCACAGAAGCUGGCGGGUGGGGAUGCCCGGAGGGGGAUACCCAAGCGGGGGAAGCCCUUGGAGCCCCCGGGACCCUCGGUGCGCAGGCGCACUCACCCGCGGUAUCGUACAGGUUCAGGGUCACCUCCUUGCUGCCCACAGUCACGCUGGCCGUGUAUUUCUCGAACACCGAUGGGGCGUAGUCCUGUCGGAGAGGGGUCGGCUGGUUCUCACGGGGGCCCGGUCACCCUAUGCAGCUCAGCUCCCCUCGCCCGGCUGGACUCGAACUCCCGAGGGGGCGCCCCGGGGUGGCGACUGCCUCUCCCCGCGCAGGACGCCGGGGCGCCGGGGUCCAGGCUCGAGGCGAGGGGUGACGGCCGUCCGUCGCCCCCGGGGGCCCAAGCCCGUCUCCCCACCGCAGUCCGGCCCCCAUCACUCCCGCGGCGGCCUCACCUCAGGGAAGGAGCCCUGGCUGUACACCAUAAGCAGCGAUGUCUUGCCGCAGCCGCCGUCGCCCACGAUCACGAUCUUCAGCUCCUUCCUGCCCGGGCCCGGGCCCGGGGCCCCGGGGGCGUCCAUAGCCGCGAGCAGCCCGCACUGGCAGCCGCGCGGGGCAGACCGCGGGGGCUGAACAAUCCGGGGCGGGGCCAGAGAGACCCCGCCCCCUGGGUGCCGGCAGCGCCUCCGCCAGGCAGCCGCCCGGGCCCACCUCCCGGCCUGUUUUCCUUUCCGUUAGGGUCCUGGCCCGCGCAGUUCACCUUUCAUUCCCGGGGAAACAGACAACCGGGAAGCGGGGGCGCUCGGUCUGAAGCGCGGCUCCCGCUUUCCCGCCUGCACGUCAAGGCGCGCGCCCCCCACCGACCAGAUUCGAUCGUUUCCGCCGCUCCUCCGGGGCACCCCCGAUUGGCAGGCCCCGCCUCCUGGCAGACGCCCUCCGAUUGGCCGGCUCGGCCUCCCCCGUCGGACAGGGGCCCUUUGAUUGGCGGACCGUUGCCCCAGCACCAGGGUUCCAGAAGCCUUCGGUCUCCAGCUCUAGGAGAAGCCCCCUAGGUCGCCCCGCCUCAGCUGCGUGGCCCGGGGCAGUCGGCUUCUGGGCCGUUUCCCCACGAGGUAGGUUGGUAACGCAGGGCAAGACGCCGGCGCGGGUGGGGCGGGGGGCGCGGCUGCCCACCCAGCCCAGCCCCACGGGCGCCAGUGGGGGUGCGGGGUGGGGAGUAGCAGUUCCCCUCCCCUACCCCCCACCUCCCCGAGAGCACAAGGUGGACGUCUGGCGCCCCCUGGCGGGCAACCGCCCUGGGGCGGGCGGCUUGGAAAACAGGUGAACGACUCCAGACAACACCCUUUGGGGGUUGGCCCCAAACCUCGCGGGCGGAAGCCUCUUUCUAGCACAGGCCAGAGGCGUGAACCGAGGAAGACACCGUCGAGGAAGGGUUGGGGAAAGACAGGGCAGAUCUCGUGAAGAUAAACUGGGACCCCUGAUAAUCCCCCAUCCCACCCUGAAAUGUAAUAAAGCGCUCGCCAGCCAGCAGCCACGUA